rnacentral:rRNA from 1 species
CAAGCCCUGAAACGGGGUCUAAUACCGGAUGGGACUGCCGGCCGCAUGGUCUGGUGGUGGAAAGCGUUUAGUGGUGCAGGAUGAGCCCGCGGCCUAUCAGCUUGUUGGUGGGGUGAGUGCCUACCAAGGCGACGACGGGUAGCCGGCCUGAGAGGGCGACCGGCCACACUGGGACUGAGACACGGCCCAGACUCCUACGGGAGGCAGCAGUGGGGAAUAUUGCACAAUGGGCGAAAGCCUGAUGCAGCGACGCCGCGUGAGGGAUGACGGCCUUCGGGUUGUAAACCUCUUUCAGCAGGGAAGAAGCCGCAAGUGACGGUACCUGCAGAAGAAGCACCGGCUAACUACGUGCCAGCAGCCGCGGUAAUACGUAGGGUGCGAGCGUUGUCCGGAAUUAUUGGGCGUAAAGAGCUCGUAGGCGGCGUGUCACGUCGGAUGUGAAAGCCCGGGGCUUAACUCCGGGUUUGCAUUCGAUACGGGCAGGCUAGGGUUCGGUAGGGGAGAUCGGAAUUCCUGGU